rnacentral:rRNA from 1 species
CUCUAGCGAGACUGCCCGGGUUAACCGGGAGGAAGGUGGGAUGACGUCAAAUCAUCAUGCCCCUUAUGUCUAGGGCUACACACGUGCUACAAUGGUGAGGACAAAGAGACGCAAGACCGCGAGGUGGAGCAAAUCUCACAAACCUCAUCCCAGUUCGGAUUGCAGGCUGAAACUCGCCUGCAUGAAGCCGGAGUUGCUAGUAAUCGCGAAUCAGCAUGUCGCGGUGAAUACGUUCCCGGGCCUU